CAGCAGGAUCCAUUUCCUGAAGCUGAUGAUGAUGUCACAUACAGCACUGUCAUCCUCCAGCACAAGACCCAACUAAAAGGACAGACCAAGUCAGCAGAACCAGAUGAUAAUGUGGUCUACAGCUCACUAGCUCUACAGGUGACCACACAGAGGGCAGCAGCAGCACAAUAGUGACUGACUGAGAAGACCUUCCUUUUACUGGAAGGACAGAACACUCCCCUCUCCUGUGUCACAACAUCUAUCUGCCUCCAAUAUGAUUCUGUCAUACCUCUUAACCCAUCCCAGGAAGACACCUCUAUCCUUUAGUGUAAUAAACUACUGAAGAC